CCGGCGACCCCCACUGGUACCAACGGCGCACGGUUACCUAAUCCCACUGGCGGCGCCGCAACCGUGAAAAGAAAGAAGGAUAACCUAGACGGAACGGAGGGAGAAGUAGUAGCGACGCAACAUUGGGUGAGU